GACGAACGCUGGCGGCGUGCUUAACACAUGCAAGUCGAACGGAAAGGCCCUGCUUUUUUGGGGUGCUCGAGUGGCGAACGGGUGAGUAACACGUGAGUAACCUGCCCUUGACUUUGGGAUAACUUCAGGAAACUGGGGCUAAUACCGGAUAGGAGCUCCUGCUGCAUGGUGGGGGUUGGAAAGUUUCGGCGGUUGGGGAUGGACUCGCGGCUUAUCAGCUUGUUGGUGGGGUAGUGGCUUACCAAGGCUUUGACGGGUAGCCGGCCUGAGAGGGUGACCGGCCACAUUAGGACUGCGAUACGGACCAGACUCGUACGGUAGGCAGUGGGGGGGAACAUGGCCCAAUGGGCGGACGCCGGAGGCAGCAACGCCGCGUGCGUGAUGACGGCCUGCGGGUUGUAAACAGCUUUCGCCUGUGACGAAGCGGGAGUGACGGUAAUGGGUAAAGAAGCACCGGCUAACUACGUG
rnacentral:rRNA from 1 species